rnacentral:rRNA from 1 species
AAUAAAAAAAUUAUUAAAAUUUUAUAAAUAUAGUUUUAUUAAAUUAAAUAUAUUAUUUUUUAUUAAAAAUUAAGAAAAAAUAGAAUUAAUUAUAGAUAAUUAGUAUUGAGAAAGAUUUUUUUUAAUUAUAAAAAAGAAAAAUUUAUUUUUGGUACCUUGUGUAUCAGGGUUUAUUAAAAAAAUAUUUAUAUAAAUAAAUCUCGAAUUCAAAAGAGUUAAAAGUUUAUAUUUUUUAUUGUAAAAUAAAUAUUAUUAAUAUAUUUUUUGUAAUGAAAUGUUAUUCGUUUUUGAAUUUAUCUAGUUUUUUUAGAAAUAAAUUUAAUUUAAUUAAUAAAAAUAUUUAUUUAUAUAUUUAAUUAAAUAUUAAUAUUAUUUAAUUUUUUUAGGGAAAAGCUUGAAAAAAUAUUUUUAUUAAAAAUAUAAAAUUAUUGAAUUGUAAGAUUAGAAUUUUCUAUCAAUAAAAUAAUGUUAUAAUUAAUUUAUUAAUAAAUUGAUUUAUAUUUGAUAUAAAUAUUAUAUAAAAAUAUUUAUUAAAAUUUUUUGUGUAAAGAAAUAAUGAUAAAAUUAGUAUAAAUUAUUGUAAAUUUAAAUUUAUUAUAAAGUUAAAAUAAAGGAAUUCAGCAAAUAAUUUUUUACCUGUUUAAUAAAAACAUGGCCUUUUGAUUAUAAUUUAAGGUCUAACCUGCCCACUGAAAAUUUAAAUGGUCGCGUAAUAUUAAUCGUGCUAAGGUAGCAUAAUCAUUAGUUUUUUAAUUGAAAACUUGUAUGAAGGGUUGAAUAAGAAAAUAACUGUCUCAGUUUUAUUUUAUUAGAAUUUUAUUUUUAAGUUAAAAAGCUUAAAUUUAAUUAAAAGACGAGAAGACCCUAUAGAGUUUAAUAAGUUAAUUUUUUAAUAAAUAAUAGAAUUAUAAAUUUUAAUAAAUAAAUUUAUUUUAUUGGGGUGAUAAAAAAAUUAAAUAAACUUUUUUAUUUUUAUACAUUAAUUUAUGAGUAAAUGAUCUUUAAUUUAUGAUUAUAAGAUAAAAUUACCUUAGGGAUAACAGCGUAAUUUUUUUAAAGAGUUCAAAUCGAAAAAAAAGAUUGCGACCUCGAUGUUGGAUUAAAAAUAAUAUUUGGUGGAGAAGCUAAAUAAUUAGGUCUGUUCGACCUUUAAAUUUUUACAUGAUCUGAGUUUAAACCGGUGUAAGCCAGGUUGGUUUCUAUCUUUAAUAAAUAAAUAUAUUAUAGUACGAAAGGACCUAAUAUAUAUUUAA